rnacentral:rRNA from 1 species
AGCGCAGACGGUUAUUUAAGCAAGAUGUGAAAGCCCCGGGCUCAACCUGGGAACUGCGUUUUGAACUGGGUAACUAGAGUGUGUCAGAGGGGGUAGAAUUCCACGUGUAGCAGUGAAAUGCGUAGAGAUGUGGAGGAAUACCAAUGGCGAAGGCAGCCCCCUGGGAUAACACUGACGUUCAUGCUCGAAAGCGUGGGUAGCAAACA